rnacentral:rRNA from 1 species
AUGUACUACCUUGUUGAUUCUGGUUAUCCUAACCGGGUGGGAUAUCUAGCUCCUUACAAAGGGACAACCUACCACCUUGCCGAAUUUCGGUCUGUCCGCCGCCCACCGAGUGGUAAAUUUGAGGUGUUCAAUUAUCUUCACUCUUCUCUUCGGAAUGUGAUUGAACGCACAUUUGGUGUGCUCAAGCAGAAAUGGCGCAUCCUAAGGGAUGUGCCACACUUCAAGGUGGGAAGUCAGACGAUGAUUAUCAGUGCUUGUAUGACGCUUCACAAUUUCAUCAGGGACAGCAAGCUACGCGAUAAAGAGUUUGAUAAAUGUGAUGAUAAUGAAAAUCACAUGCCUGCAGUCUCACGGUCAACACCUUUGCUUGGCGAUGUCGUUCCCACUUCAUCCGAUGAAGGCAACAUGAACGACACGCGAGAUAGGAUUGCGAGCUCUUUGUUUAUUGCGCGACAAGCUACAUAG